rnacentral:rRNA from 1 species
CCUCAUGCCAUCAGAUGUGCCCAGAUGGGAUUAGCUAGUAGGUGGGGUAACGGCUCACCUAGGCGACGAUCCCUAGCUGGUCUGAGAGGAUGACCAGCCACACUGGAACUGAGACACGGUCCAGACUCCUACGGGAGGCAGCAGUGGGGAAUAUUGCACAAUGGGCGCAAGCCUGAUGCAGCCAUGCCGCGUGUGUGAAGAAGGCCUUCGGGUUGUAAAGCACUUUCAGCGGGGAGGAAGGCGGUGAGGUUAAUAACCUCAUCGAUUGACGUUACCCGCAGAAGAAGCACCGGCUAACUCCGUGCCAGCAGCCGCGGUAAUACGGAGGGUGCAAGCGUUAAUCGGAAUUACUGGGCGUAAAGCGCACGCAGGCGGUCUGUCAAGUCGGAUGUGAAAUCCCCGGGCUCAACCUGGGAACUGCAUUCGAAACUGGCAGGCUAGAGUCUUGUAGAGGGGGGUAGAAUUCCAGGUGUAGCGGUGAAAUGCGUAGAGAUCUGGAGGAAUACCGGUGGCGAAGGCGGCCCCCUGGACAAAGACUGACGCUCAGGUGCGAAAGCGUGGGGAGCAAACAGGAUUAGAUACCCUGGUAGUCCACGCCGUAAACGAUGUCGAUUUGGAGGUUGUGCCCUUGAGGCGUGGCUUCCGGAGCUAACGCGUUAAAUCGACCGCCUGGGGAGUACGGCCGCAAGGUUAAAACUCAAAUGAAUUGACGGGGGCCCGCACAAGCGGUGGAGCAUGUGGUUUAAUUCGAUGCAACGCGAAGAACCUUACCUGGUCUUGACAUCCACAGAACUUACCAGAGAUGCAUUGGUGCCUUCGGGAACUGUGAGACAGGUGCUGCAUGGCUGUCGUCAGCUCGUGUUGUGAAAUGUUGGGUUAAGUCCCGCAACGAGCGCAACCCUUAUCCUUUGUUGCCAGCGGUCCGGCCGGGAACUCAAAGGAGACUGCCAGUGAUAAACUGGAGGAAGGUGGGGAUGACGUCAAGUCAUCAUGGCCCUUACGACCAGGGCUACACACGUGCUACAAUGGCAUAUACAAAGAGAAGCGACCUCGCGAGAGCAAGCGGACCUCAUAAAGUAUGUCGUAGUCCGGAUUGGAGUCUGCAACUCGACUCCAUGAAGUCGGAAUCGCUAGUAAUCGUAGAUCAGAAUGCUACGGUGAAUACGUUCCCGGGCCUUGUACACACCGCCCGUCACACCAUGGGAGUGGGUUGCAAAAGAAGUAGGUAGCUUAACCUUCGGGAGGGCGCUUACCACUUUGUGAUUCAUGACUGGGGUGAAGUCGUAACAAGGUAACCGUAGGGGAACCUGCGGUUGGAUCACCU